GAAAUACCGGAGUAGACCAUAAAUUGGUUCACUAUCGGAAUGAACGUAAUUUAAUACCUUCGAUGAGUAACAACUGGAGGGCAAGUCUGGUGCCAGCAGCCGCGGUAAUUCCAGCUCCAGUAGUGUAUAUCAAAAUUGUUGCGGUUAAAACGCUCGUAGUUGGAUUACAAAAGCUCUACGAUGGCCAAGUCAAAAGUGUUUGGUCGUUGUGGGGUUUUUUUAUCGCGAGAGCCGUAUGUGGGAUUAAAUUCUUGUGUGCGGUCACUUGCGAGAUGUGCCUUGAAUAAAGCACAGUGCUCAAAGCAGGCGUAAGCUCGAAUGUAAUAGCAUGGAACGAAUAUGUUGACCGUGUUGACUGUUGGUUGUUGACAUUGGUCUCGAUUAAAAGGGACAUUUGAGGGCGUUAGUACUUGGCGGCGAGGGGUGAAAUCCUUAGACCCGUCAAAGACUAACUAAUGCGAAAGCAUUCGCCAAGAGUGUUUUCAUUAAUCAAGAACGAAAGUUGGAGGUUCGAAGACGAUCAGAUACCGUCCUAGUUCCAUACAGUAAACUAUGCCAACAUGGGAUCA
rnacentral:rRNA from 1 species